GUACUGAAGAGGGACUAAAAAACAAUAAAGAGUUUAUUAAUAUUAAUACCUUUUGUAUCAGGGUUAAUUAAUAUUAGUAAUUAUAGAUAGAUUUCGAAAUUAUUUGAGCUAAAGAAUUUUGAUUUUGUUUGUAUAAAAAAAGGAAGAAAAAGUUCUUUAGAGGUGAUAUUUUUACGGAAAUAAUGAUAUCUAAUUAAAAGCGAAAUAAUUAAUUAUUUUCUUAGAGGAGAUUAAAUUUGAUAGGGUAAGCUUGUCAAGAUAAAAUAUAAAAACAUAUAAUUAUAAAACUAAGCUUUAAAUUAGUUAUGUUUAUAGUUUGUAUUAAAUAAUUAAUUAAAUUAUAAUUAUUUUUUUUAGUUAGCUUUUUAUUUUUUAAGAUUAAAUAAAAAAUUAGAAAAUGAUUAAAUUAGUAUUUUUGUUAAUUGAAAUAUAUUAAUUAAAUUGUACUCUGAUUGUUUAACAAAAACAUUUCUUUCUGUUCAAUAGAAAGUAGGACCUGCCCGGUGAUUGUUUAAACGGCUGCGGUAUUUUGACCGUGCUAAGGUAGCAUAAUAAAUUGUUCUUUAAUUGAGAACUGGAAUGAAAGGUUAGACAGUUUACAAGUUUGUUUAUUUUAAUAAAUGAAUUUUUAUUAUAAGUAAAAAUACUUAUAUAAAAUAAAGGGACGAUAAGACCCUAGAAGCUUUAGUUUGAAAAAUUUAAGAGUGAUUUUAUUAAUAAUCUGAGGUUUGAAUAACUUUGAUUGGGGAAAUAAAAAUUUUUAAAAUAAUUUUUGUAAAAAUUAAUUAAUUUUUGAAUGAUCUUUUAAAUAAAAAAGAAAUGAAAAAGUUACUCUAGGGAUAACAGCGUAAUAAUUUUGGAUAGGCCUUAUAUAUAGAAUUGAUUAUGACCUCGAUGUUGAAUUAAAAUAUCUUUAUAAAGUAGAAAUUAUAAGAGAAGGUUUGUUCAACCUUUAAAUUUUUACAUGAUUUGAGUUCAGACCGGUUUAAGCCAGGUCGGUUUCUAUCUUUUAUAAUUUAAUAAUUAUUUUAGUACGAAAGGACCAAAUAAUUUUAAUAUUU
rnacentral:rRNA from 1 species